CAGUGGAACUUUAGCAACAAACCAGACAACCUAGUUUAGUUUUGAUUCAUUGCCACAAAGGAGCUAGAUCGAAUCUCACUUCUUGAGCAGUCGUAAAAUUCUCUUCUGCUGCUCACUGCUGUGCACCGACGCUCUGAAAUGCAGAAUUCCAGGCACAUGUAAGAAAACACCAACUUGCCAUGGAAGAUUUAUUGAUCUAACAUUUGCUUGGCCAAAAGGUUCUGCCUUGGUGUAACAGGAUCAGCGCUCAGCUGGGGCUUCUGGAUGCUGCUCUACCACAAGCAAAACAAAAAGAACAGUCAGAUGAAAUGAACGGUAUCUUUUUAAAUAGUUUUGUGACUCAGAUUCAGAGCUGAAUUUUGUUUCAAGGCAACGUCAGUUUAGCAUUACUACAUUAAAAAUUAAAGAUAGUGACUCCCACAACUUGAAUUUCCUAUUUACUCUUCUGGCUGAAUUUCCUCAGCUAUAACAUCAUCAAACUGUGCCAGAAAGGGGGUCAGAUGUGUGUGUGUGUACUGACAAACGCUUCUCACAACUGAAGAAAUUACCAUUUUGCACUGCAGUACCUUUUUUCUCCUCAAAUAAUCUUAUUGAUUUGUUUUGUUAAUAAAAAAGGACAGAUCCCUGCUGUUUUUUCAGUGGAUAAUCAUUCAUUUAGUUUAGAUUCUGAAGCUGCUAAUAUACUGCUGGUGUCUAAGAAGCCUGGGUCUCCUCUUUGUUAAAUGAAAGCCACAAACAAAGCACAUUCCAAUUACAGAAUUUUCAUUCUGAAAGCUUUGGUAAAAGAAUAUGGAAAGCUAAGGGCUGAACAGCAGUUUGGCUCAAGCUUGAGUAGAGAUAGAAUGUUCUCACCAAAAUAGAAACAUAAAAUUGCAUUAAAUUUUUUGUCCUUCAAAUCUAGCCUUUUUGUCUCUAUUGUUAUCAACACGAGAUAAAUGAGAAGUUCAGAACAGUGCUUGACUGCCCUUGAUCAAGGACUGAGCAGCAGGUAAGGACUAACGCCCCAUUCUGGCACAGCAUAAAGCACUUUUAUCUUAAAGCAUCUCUCAACAGCUCCACAACUUUCUGCCCCGAUUUGAGGCACCUGAGCAGAUUGCUGCAUGGAACCUCGUUACAAUUCAGAUGCACACAGAAACAGAUGACUGACCAAGAACUGUGUCAUUAAACAUACUGCUCUGGAUGCUCGCAUUUCCUGCUGUUGUUUUUUUUAACCCCAAGCAGCUGUAUCCUUCAUCUCAAAAAAAGCUGAAGCCUCAUCAUAUAAAAUAG